rnacentral:rRNA from 1 species
AGUGAACGCUGGCGGUAGGCCUAACACAUGCAAGUCGAACGGCAGCACAGGAGAGCUUGCUCUCUGGGUGGCGAGUGGCGGACGGGUGAGGAAUACAUCGGAAUCUACUCUGUCGUGGGGGAUAACGUAGGGAAACUUACGCUAAUACCGCAUACGACCUACGGGUGAAAGCAGGGGACCUUCGGGCCUUGCGCGAUUGAAUGAGCCGAUGUCGGAUUAGCUAGUUGGCGGGGUAAAGGCCCACCAAGGCGACGAUCCGUAGCUGGUCUGAGAGGAUGAUAAGCCACACUGGAACUGAGACACGGUCCAGACUCCGACGGGAGGCAUCAGUGGGGAAUAUUGGACAAUGGGCGCGAGCCUGAUCCAGCCAUACCGCGUGGGUGAAGAAGGCCUUCGGUUUGUAAAGCCCUUUUGUUGGGAAAGAAAUCCAGCUGGCUAAUACCCGGUUGGGAUGACGGUACCCAAAGAAUAAGCACCGGCUAACUUCGUGCCAGCCGCCGCAGUAA